CCUUCGAUAGCUUAGUUGGUAGAGCGGGGGACUGUAGUUGGUCACUGCAUUGAUCCCUAGGUCACUGGUUCGAAUUCGGUUUGAAGAA